UACGUAGGGCGCGAGCGUUGUCCGGAAUUAUUGGGCGUAAAGAGCUCGUAGGCGGUCUGUCGCGUCGGAUGUGAAAGCCCGGGGCUUAACCCCGGGUCUGCAUUCGAUACGGGCAGACUAGAGUGUGGUAGGGGAGAUCGGAAUUCCUGGUGUAGCGGUGAAAUGCGCAGAUAUCAGGAGGAACACCGGUGGCGAAGGCGGGUCUCUGGGCAACAACUGACGCUGAGGAGCGAAAGCGUGGGGAGCGAACAGG
rnacentral:rRNA from 1 species